UACGGGGGGAGCAAGCGUUGUUCGGAUUUACUGGGCGUAAAGGGCGCGUAGGCGGCCACCGCAAGUCGACUGUGAAAUCUCCGGGCUUACCCGGAAAGGUCAGCCGAUACUGCGGGGCUAGAGUGCAGAAGGGGCAACUGGAAUUCUCGGUGUAGCGGUGAAAUGCGUAGAUAUCGAGAGGAACACCUGCGGCGAAGGCGGGUGCUGGGCUGACACGUGACGCUGAGGCGCGAAAGCUAGGGGAGCGAACGGG
rnacentral:rRNA from 1 species